CCUACGGGAGGCAGCAGUGAGGAAUAUUGGUCCAUGGACGAGAGUCUGAACCAGCCCAGUCGCGUUAAGGAUGACCUCCCUAUGGGUUGUAAACUUCUUUUAUAUGGGAAUAAAAUGUUCCACGUGUGGGAUUUUGUAUGUACCAUAUGAAUAAGGAUCGGCUAACUCCGUGCCCGCAGCCGCGGUAAUACGGAGGAUCCGAGCGUUAUCCGGCUUUAUUGGGUUUAAAGGGAGCGUAGGUGGAUUGUUAAGUCAGUUGUGAAAGUUUGCGGCUCAACCGUAAAAUUGCAGUUGAAACUGGCAGUCUAGAGUACAGUAGAGGUGGGCGGAAUUCGUGGUGUAGCGGUGAAAUGCUUAGAUAGCACGAAGAACGCCGAUUGCGAAGGCAGCUCACGGGACUGCAACUGACACUGAGGCUCGAAAGUGUGGGUAGCAAACAGGAUUAGAUACCCGAGUAGUC
rnacentral:rRNA from 1 species